AGGUACUCUCCAAAGUUAUGGGCUGUUACAGAGUGAAACCAACAAGUAUUUUAUGUGUUGUGCUAUUCAUCUUCUACCUAUGUAUGAUUGACAUAAAGUUCAUGCUAAAAGGUGAAUAUGCUUCAAAGGUUUUGAUGUCCAAUUGCCAGGAACCCAAAAAAACACAUCAUUUGUCCAUCACUACUUUAACCAGAAACUCUGCCUCAUUUAUCAAAGAGUGGUUAGAAUAUCACCUAUUGAUUGGUGUGGAUCACUUCUACAUUUUAGACAAUGAAUCAGGAGAUGGUUUGUAUAGUGUACUUAAACCAUACAUUGAAAAAAAGACUGUGACAUACAUUCCAUGGAAAGAUGACUCAUAUCGUGAUGCUCAACUGAAGAUGUCUUUGAACACACAGCAGAAAGGUUUAGUGUAUGCUCUGAGUUUAUAUGGUUGCAAAUCUGAUUGGAUAGCUUUGAUAGAUGAUGAUGAAUUCAUAUUGCCUAAAGGAAAUAGAACUUUGAAAGAUAUCUUGAAUGAUUAUACUGAUUAUGGUGGUCUUGCUCUAGGUUGGGCAUGGUUUGGUAGUAAUGGACACAUAAGUAAACCUGAUAACAAUUUGGUGGUAGAGACAUUCACUAAAAGAAGAGCAGAUCUGGAUAUUCUUUACAAGACCAUUAUUCAGCCCAAAUAUUUCCGAAGAAUGAAGACCAUUCAUUAUCCUGUACUGGAGUCCGGAUAUCCAUUAGUCACUGAACAUUUCAACAUCGUAUCCACGAUUCCAGAACAUGUCAAGAAGUUUGCUUACAAAUUGAAUGACCCUACUAAUGACUUUAUACAGUUGAAUUACUACAAAGUGAAAAGCCAGGAGGAAUGGCUAGAAAGAACUCAGAAAGACGUUGUUGCUGAUGGACACUGGAGGAAAAAUCUAGAUGAUUUUUAUAACAAUGAUUUUAAUGAGGUUGAUGACAAUGAUAUCCUGAAAUUCUUACCUGAUCUCAAAAAAAGGCUGUCAAUUACUGAAGCAUGAUCGAGGCAUAAAAUAACACAGGAUAAAUUUAAAGUUGAAUUCAUCAAUUGUAUUUUAGAAUAAUGAUAUAGAUAUCAUAUAAUGCAUGUUAUUGAGCUGUUUUUUUUAUACACACGUCAAAACACAAUUAAAGUGAAAUAUAAGUAUUAGAUUCAUUCAUAUUUUUACCUACCAUUGCUUGAUCACAAUGAUUUGGAUAUAAUACAUAUCACGUGAUUAUUUUAAGUAUGUAACAAAGUGUAAAUAAGUUGGAGGAAUGGACUCUUCCCGGACUCAACCUUUUUGAGUGCCGCUUCAUUCCAAAUUCAUUAAUAUUAUACAUUUAAAGAGAAAGUGUUUCUCAGAACUGUUGGGCACAACCUUAGUCAAAUCUAUGGCGACCUUCCUCCCAUUGCCUUCAUCCUAGCACAACGAUGCAGGCCACUGUAUGAGGUCCAAGGAUUAGGCCAUCUCAACAAUCCUACCCUGGCACCUCCCACAAGUUGGCUGCGAUAAAAGACAUAGAUCUAUAUACUGUAGCUUGAGAUACAGAAGUUGAUAUCGGUGAUCUACAGCAUACAUGGUGUGCUAUGCUCGAUUGUGUUAUCUGGAGGAAAUCGAUCGAGGAUUGCCCAAAGUUAAGUUAUUACAUACUGUUUAUUGCAUCUGUUUUUGUUCAUCCUUAAAUAAUAUGUGAGUGAACUCACAUUGCUUUUCGACAAUUACACAGCCUGCAUCAAUCUUCUGUUUUAAUUUUUUUUCAGAUGAACCUCCACUAAAACCUAAAUACUAUGUUAUAUCUGGCAUAUUUACAGUUGCAUGCUUGAAUACCUUUAAAAUAGUUGAAAUAGUUACAUCAUCUUUGAUAUCUUUUUAAGUUCGGCAAUUUAUUUUAGUAUCAAAUUGCUUUAGUUCACUUUAAGAUAUUUGAAGUAACUUUAUGUAUGAUACUUCAUCUAUCAUAUCUUUCUUAAGCUGGGCUUAUUAUGAUUUAUUUUGCUAUCAAAUAGCUUAAGUUCACUUUCAGAUGUUUGAAGUAGUUCCAACAUCUUUCAUAUCUUUAUUAAGCUUAUUAUAAUUUAUUUUGAUAUCAAAUUGGUUUUUUCAAGAUGUCAUGUUUUCUGUUUGUUAGAUGAUAGCAAUACAGGAGCAGACUAUGUGAACGCAGAUAAAAUUUAAGGAUAUUUGUUGAUAUUUCCAAUUGUUAUUUGUUCUGAUGAUACAUUGAUACAUGCAAUAUACUAUAUUUGUUUCGUACAAUAUAUUUGUUCUUGUUUUAUUCAGGAAUUUUCAAAUUGCUUUUUCA